GAUGAAGAACGUAGCGAAAUGCGAUAAGUAAUGUGAAUUGCAGAAUUCAGUGAAUCAUCGAAUCUUUGAACGCACAUUGCGCCCAUUAGUAUUCUAGUGGUCAUGCCUGUUCGAGCGUCAUUAAGUCCACUUAAGCCCUGCUUAGUGUUGGGAGACUGCUCCAGCGGUGCUACCCUGUAGCUACCCUGCAGCUCCUCAAAGACAGCGGCGGAGUUGUGGUAUCCUCUGAGCUUAGUAACUUGUUCUAGCUUUCGAGUACACCACUUCCCCUGCCGUAAAACCCUUAAUUUUUAAUGGUUGACCUCGGAUCAGGUAGGAAUACCCGCUGAACUUAAGCAUAUCAAUAAGCGGAGGA
rnacentral:misc_RNA from 1 species